rnacentral:rRNA from 1 species
UACGUAGGGUCCGAGCGUUGUCCGGAAUUACUGGGCGUAAAGAGCUCGUAGGUGGUUUGUCGCGUUGUUCGUGAAAACUCACAGCUCAACUGUGGGCGUGCGGGCGAUACGGGCAGACUUGAGUACUGCAGGGGAGACUGGAAUUCCUGGUGUAGCGGUGGAAUGCGCAGAUAUCAGGAGGAACACCGGUGGCGAAGGCGGGGUCUCUGGGCAUUUCCUGACGCUGGAGGCGCGAAAAGCCGUGGGGGAGCAAAACGGG